AACAUCAUUUUAUAUCGCUCACGCUGGCCCCAUACUUUUGUAUUCAGAGGAGAAAGACAGUAUUUCUAGUUUCUUCAGGUUUUGGGGGUCGGCAAGAAGCGUAGACCAAAUUAUAGAUCGUUGCUGGGCGCCUGGUGUUGAUUUUUCUCGUAAAAAUAGGAAAUACUGGGAAUCAGCUGAUUCUACAUGC
rnacentral:snoRNA from 1 species